ACACGCACUCUCUCUCUCUCUCUCGGCCGCACGCCCAAUUCUCUGUUCUCUCUCCCUUCCAUUUCUCCCUGCCAUCGCUGGAGACCGCCAGUUUUGGCCACUAAUUCACGACACCGCCACCACCAAUCGAACCAGCACCUCAAUAUGAUCAAAACCCAAGCCCAGCACCGCCAUGUACCGACUCUUGCCUCUACACGCGACCCUCCAAGCCGCGCUGUUGCUGCUGCUGCUGCUGCUACUGCUCCCUUUCCUUCGUCAAUUUCCGGCCGCCAUCUCGCAAUAGCUCCACCACCACUUUGAUUCAGUCCUGUGGGUCUUGAAUGGAAAAGUUUGAGUACUGAAGCAGAGGAAGAGUGGUUAUGACUUAUGAAUACGUGAUGGUUCAGAGGCAGAAAGGUAAGAAGUCUAGUUUCGAAUUUUGGAUUCAGAUCAGUUGAUUUGGAUUAAAUGGAUAUCUAACCUUGAGAUUUCUGGACUUGGAGGAUACAACGGAAAAUUAUUAGAAGCCGUUUGAGUAUAUCUCUAUCUUCAAACAGAGAUGAUUUCUUGGGUCUUGGUGAAGGAGAAGGAGAAAAUAGUAAACGGCAGUGCCCCACAGGCACAGGCACAGGCAGAAUGGGAGCAGCUGUAGAGGCACAGCUUGGACUCCUCCUCUAGCAGUACCCUUCCACCUUAGGCAUUGCACUCCUUGAAUUUCGGUUUAUGAUAUUUUUAUCUGAUUCAAAGUUGGAUACUGAUCUAAUUCAGUUACAUCUUAAAGGUCAACUUAAAGUGGUAUGUGAUGACACGGGAUGAAAGGAAGGGGAUGCAUGGCAGCAAAGCUCACAACAUUGAUAGGCCAUUCCCGUGAUGCCUGGGAAGAAUGGUCAACCUCUUUGAUAUGAGUGAUGGGGUUUCUAGAAACAAGCUGCUCACGAAUAAAUCCCACCUUGAUGGAUGCUGUUACUCAACAGUGCUGAAGGAUUCACACAAUUGUGUGGAAUUGACCUGUGUGCUUUGAGGUAUUCUUACCCAGUUUGCUCAAAAUCCAGGCUCGAAUGUUACUGUCUGGUGUGCUUAUUAGGUGGAUGGCAUGAACAAAGUGCCUUGCUGAUUGCACAAAGCAAGUGAAUGCGAGAAGGAAGCAAGUUGAGAGGCUUAUAUAUGUACUUCUCAUCAUAGUUUAUAUGAGAUUAAAUUUUUUAUGUUUGUAAACAAGUCUGACCCUGCAGAUGAGUUAAUGUAUUUUCUAUAUCAAAGUUACAUUACAUAUAAAGAGUCUUUUCUAUAUCGAAGUUAUAUUACAUAUCCAACAUGGAAGUAAGCCAACAAUUAUUGAAUUAUAAUUGAUACUUUAUUAUGAA